rnacentral:rRNA from 1 species
AGCAGUCGCCGCGGUAAUACGAAGGGGGCUAGCGUUGUUCGGAAUUACUGGGCGUAAAGCGCACGUAGGCGGAUAUUUAAGUCAGGGGUGAAAUCCCGCAGCUCAACUGCGGAACUGCCUUUGAUACUGGGUAUCUUGAGUAUGGAAGAGGUUAGUGGAAUUGCGAGUGUAGAGGUGAAAUUCGUAGAUAUUCGCAGGAACACCAGUGGCGAAGGCGGCUAACUGGUCCAUAACUGACGCUGAGGUGCGAAAGCGUGGGGAGCAAACAGGAUUAGAGACCCCUGUAGUCCCUGUCUCUUAUAC